rnacentral:lncRNA from 1 species
AGUUUUUCCCUUACAUCUACCGGGUGUGGGAACUCACCCAGCGCAUCCGACUGCACAAUGAAAAAAAGUAGUUUUCCUUUACAAUGAGGCUUGGCCCCCAGGGCGAUGGUGCCACAAGCCAGAUCACUGGGACCACUCAGAGAAAGGGAACACAGAAGCCUGGCAUGCCAGCAAAAAGCAGGGUUUUUGUGAGCAGUGUCUUGCACCAAACUCCUGUCUCCUCCUGUGACUUAGAAUGCCUAACUUCCUGGGAAUGCAGCACAGGUCUCAGCCUCAUUUUGCCCAGCCCCUAUUCAAGACGGAUUUGCUGUGGUUCAAAUGCUUCUGACAAUAUUCCUCAUGGUGAAUGCUGGAUUUUGCAUGCCCGAGGCCCUGGGCCACACUGUAUGUUUGCUUUUUGCAAGGGCUGUAUGGCUAUGACUAGUUAUGUGGACCCUGCAUUCCUAUGUAAAUGACCCUCCAUAAAAACCCCAGAAAUGAAUGCUUGAGUGAACUUCCCUGGCUUGUAUUAUAAU